UGGAGGCUGGCAGUCUGGGGGUGCGGCCGGCAGGGGCGGGGCCGCGGAAGCUGCGAGUCCCUGACGCUUGACCCUUCUCCCGCUGUCGCAGCUCGGCCGGGCUGGGGGCCCAUGGGCACCUGGGCCUCCAGGGGCCGGCCCGCCCGGGUCCCCGCGCCGGACCCGGAGCCCGAAGAGGCGCUAGACCUGAGCCAACUGCCACCCGAGCUUCUUCUGCUGGUGCUGAGCCACGUGCCCCCGCGCACGCUGCUCGGGCGCUGCCGCCGGGUGUGCAGGCGCUGGCGGGCCCUGGUGGACGGCCAGGCGCUGUGGCUGCUCAUCCUGGCCCGGGACCACGGCGCCUUGCUGCCGCUCGCCCGCAGCUGCCUGCCCCCAGCCCGCGAGGCCAGGCCCUGCCUCCUGGGCCGCUUCUGCGAGCGCAGUCCGAUCGGACGCAACCUCAUCCGCAACCCCUGCGGCCAAGGAAGCCUUGUUUAUUCAACAGAAGGCCUCCGGAAGUGGAUGGUGCAGCACGGCGGAGACGGCUGGGUGGUGGAGGAAAACAGGUUAACCGUGCCUGGGGCCCCUUCGCAGACCUGCUUCGUGUCUUCCUUCAGCUGGUGUCGCAAGAAGCAGGUCUUAGAUCUGGAGGAAGAGGGUUUGUGGCCUGAACUGCUGGAUAGUGGCAAAAUUGAGAUUUGUGUCUCUGACUGGUGGGGAGCUCGACACGAUAGUGGCUGUAUGUAUCGGCUAAUCGUCCAACUUCUGGAUGCCAACCAGAUCGUCCUGGAUAAAUUCUCUGCUAUACCUGAUCCCAUCCAGCAGUGGAACAACAACGUCUGCCUCCAGGCUGAGCCUGUUUCCCUCACUGAAAGGUUGUGACCUUGAAGCCAUCUGAAUCAAUAACUUGGGUGUGAGGCCGACAUCUUCCAUAUGAUCGCCUUCCAUUGUCUCAUGAAGACUUUGUAUGAAAGCUUUUGAGAAGGCGUCUGAAUGGAAGGAGCACAGAGUGGGAGCUUUUCCAGCUCUGCAUUCCUGCUUCUUGGGAGGCCAGUGUGAUGUCAGGAGCUACACUGUGGGCCAUGAGGACAAGAGCCACAUCCUAAGGUUGGCAAAAUACACCAGAAACAACCUAGAUCCUAGACCAUGGCAGAGCCUUCAUGCCCAACCCGAACAGCCUACAUUUGAACUUUCCCUGAGAAGUAAACUUACAUCUCAUUUAAGUUACUAUGGUUUUGUCUAUUGCAAACAUCUAAACCCAAAUCCUAACACGGAGAAUGUCAUACUUCAUGUACCUUUUGCAACUUGCUUUUUUUACGCAAUGUAUUUUUUUCAUGCAUCCAUAUUGAUUUAUGUAUAUUUAAUUUUUUUUUCCCAUAUCUCCUCUGGGGUCAUUGCUCUGAGGGUCUUUAUUUUAUCAUGGUAAAAUAAACAUAAAAUUUACCAUUUUAACCAUCUUGAAGUGUACAGAUCUGUGGCAUGUAAGUACAUUGACGAUGUUGUACAACCACGGCCAUUUCCAGAGCUUUUUCACCAUCCCAAAUAGAAACUUUGUACCCGUUAAACAAAAACUCCUCAUUUCCCCUCCCCCCAGUUCCUAGUAAUCUCUCUUCUACUUCCUGUCUAUAAAGUUGCCUAGUCCAGGCCUCUCAGACAGGUGGAAUCUUACAGUAUUUGUCCUUUUGUGUCUGGUCUAAUUCAUUCAUUUUACAUACUACAUGACACGGUAGCUGUCUCCUCAUCUAGGUCAUCUUUGUUACUCUUUAAUAAAGUCUUAUAGUUUACUCCAAAAUGACCUUGGACAUCUUUUCUUGGCAUUUGAGCUGUGCCCCUUAAUUUUUUGUUGUAUGAGAGAAUGGAAUCUUUUUUUUUAAUUCUCUUUUCUAAUAGGUCAUUAAUGCUAUUAUAGAAAUGCUAUUAAUUUUUUGUACAUUAAUCUUAUAUCCAGCAGACCUGCUGAAAUAUUUUCUUAGUUCUUCACAGGGAAUUUUUCUAAUUAACUCGGACACUUGUUACAGGUUCCUGGUAGGCACCUUCUAUCAUGGCUGAUGAUUCCCUUUUAUCUCUAGCGGCUCCCAAAAGUUUUAUUGUAAAUGGGUGUUGAAUUCCAUCCAGUGUUUUUUCUUCCUUAAUGUGUUAACAUGGUGUGUUACAUUGAUAGAUUUUCUUUUAUAUUUUUGUUG